CAUUAUUAAAUGCUGGGUAAUAAAUUGUAUUUCUUAACAUCCUUUGAUGUUUUCUAUAAUAUUUAACCACUUUCCA
rnacentral:tRNA from 1 species